rnacentral:rRNA from 1 species
AAUGAACGCUGGCGGCAGGCCUAACACAUGCAAGUCGAACGGAUCCUUCGGGAUUAGUGGCGGACGGGUGAGUAACGCGUGGGAACAUACCCAAAGGUACGGAAUAGCCUCGGGAAACUGGGAGUAAUACCGUAUGUGCUCGAAAGAGGAAAGAUUUAUCGCCUUUGGAUUGGCCCGCGUUGGAUUAGGUAGUUGGUGGGGUAAUGGCCUACCAAGCCGACGAUCCAUAGCUGGUUUGAGAGGAUGAUCAGCCACACUGGGACUGAGACACGGCCCAGACUCCUACGGGAGGAAGCAGUGGGGAAUCUUAGACAAUGGGGGAAACCCUGAUCUAGCCAUGCCGCGUGAUCGAUGAAGGCCUUAGGGUUGUAAAGAUCUUUCAGGUGGGAAGAUAAUGACUGUACCACCAGAAGAAGCCUCGGCUAACUCCGUGCCAGCCGCCGCAGUAA